rnacentral:rRNA from 1 species
UACGUAGGGGGCAAGCGUUGUCCGGAUUUAUUGGGCGUAAAGAGCGUGUAGGCGGCCAGAUAGGUCGGUUGUGAAAACUGGAGGCUCAACCUCCAGACGUCGACCGAAACCAUCUGGCUAGAGUCCGGAAGAGGAGAGUGGAAUUCCUGGUGUAGCGGUGAAAUGCGCAGAUAUCAGGAAGAACACCCGUGGCGAAGGCGGCCCUCUGGGACGGUACUGACGCUGAGACGCGAAAGCGUGGGGAGCGAACAGG